CUAGUUCAUGCACGAGAGGAGUAAUGAAGAAGAACUCAUUCUAACUUUCAAAAACAAGGACCAGCAUUAAACCCAUUUUUUUUUUUUCUUUUCCUUUUUGGCAUUAAGGACAUCCUGGCAUAAUAUAUAGGACUGAAAAUAAACCUUUUAGAGAUUUUUAAAAUACUGUAUUUGAUAACUGCUAGAUUAAUUUAAGAAUAUAUAGCUAUGAAAAUAAAGGUUUAGAAGCUGUAAAGAUUAGAAUCUCUUCAGCCAAUGUCAUUUUAGGUCCAACUCUUAAAUCUUGAAGGUAAAUUUAUAAGCCAACUUUUAAAUCUCCAAGGUAAGCAUACGCCAGGAAGGUACUGUGUGAUGAACGAGCGAAUAGUGAGCCUGUGGGUGAUCAUAGAGAACUGCCUUCUGCAUGUUGGUUUACUUCUUACUUAUUUGCAUAUUAUUUCCCUAAUUCUCUUUUGAAAUAAUUCUAAUGUUG
rnacentral:lncRNA from 1 species